CCUAGCAGUGACACCUUGUGGCGAAAAAGUUAAUCACCAUCACAUGGCUUGUUGACAUUCCAGCCACAGUAGCGCAGUGGCCGAUGUACCUGGAGAUUCCGAGGCUUACCAUGCAUUGGACAUUUCCUCCUGUGCGUUUAUGAAGCAGCUUUUCUUUUCUGACGGUGGCUCUCAACUUGCUUGUCAUCAUCUCAGUCUCCCACUUCAGGCAGCUCCACACACCCACUAACAUCCUGCUCCUCUCUCUGGCUGUCUCAGACUUUCUUGUUGGCCUCCUAUUGUCACCUGCAGAAAUCCUCCGAAGUACAGCCUGUUGGUUUC
rnacentral:lncRNA from 1 species